UGUUCUGUGGCUUAAUUGGUUAAAGCGCCGGUCUAGCGAAUACGGAGUUGUGGGUUAGAAUUUCACCAGAACGC
rfam:Aedes albopictus isolate Foshan contig116969, whole genome shotgun sequence.